rnacentral:rRNA from 1 species
GACGAACGCUGGCGGCGUGCCUAAUACAUGCAAGUCGAACGAGAGCAACCGGUGCUUGCACUGGUCAAUCUAGUGGCGAACGGGUGAGUAACACGUGGGUAACCUGCCCAUCAGAGGGGGAUAACAUCCGGAAACGGAUGCUAAAACCGCAUAGGUCUUCGAACCGCAUGGUUUGAAGAGGAAAAGAGGCGCAAGCUUCUGCUGAUGGAUGGACCCGCGGUGCAUGAGCUAGUUGGUGAGGUAACGGCUCACCAAGGCCGGGAGCCUUAGCCGACCUGAGUGGGUGUUCGGCCACAUUGGCACUGAGCCACCGCCCAAGCUCCUACGGUAGGCAGCAGUAGGGAAUCUUCCGCAAUGGACGCAAGUCUGACGGAACAACGCCGCGUGAGUGAAAAAGGUUUUCGGAUCGUAAAGCUCUGUUGUUAGGGAAGAACAAGUGCUAGAGUAACUGUUAGCGCCUUGACGGUAUCUAACCAGAAAGCCACGGCUAACUACGUG